rnacentral:rRNA from 1 species
GUUUGAUCCUGGCUCAGGAUGAACGCUAGCGGCAGGCCUAACACAUGCAAGUCGAACGGUAACAGGAAAUAGCUUGCUAUUUUGCUGACGAGUGGCGCACGGGUGCGUAACGCGUAUACAAUCUACCUUUUGCUGAGGGAUAGCCCAGAGAAAUUUGGAUUAAUACCUCAUGGUAUUAUUGAUAGGCAUCUAUUAAUAAUUAAAGGUUACGGCAAAAGAUGAGUAUGCGUCCCAUUAGCUAGUUGGUGAAGUAACGGUUCACCAAGGCAACGAUGGGUAGGGGUCCUGAGAGGGAGAUCCCCCACACUGGUACUGAGACACGGACCAGACUCCUACGGGAGGCAGCAGUGAGGAAUAUUGGACAAUGGGCGAGAGCCUGAUCCAGCCAUGCCGCGUGCAGGAAGACUGCCCUAUGGGUUGUAAACUGCUUUUAUACAGGAAGAAACACUGCUACGUGUAGCAGCUUGACGGUACUGUAAGAAUAAGGACCGGCUAACUCCGUGCCAGCAGCCGCGGUAAUACGGAGGGUCCGAGCGUUAUCCGGAAUUAUUGGGUUUAAAGGGUCCGUAGGCGGAUGAUUAAGUCAGGGGUGAAAGUUUGCAGCUCAACUGUAAAAUUGCCUUUGAUACUGGUCAUCUUGAGUUGUAUUGAAGUAGGCGGAAUAUGUAGUGUAGCGGUGAAAUGCAUAGAUAUUACAUAGAACACCAAUUGCGAAGGCAGCUUACUAAGUACUAACUGACGCUGAUGGACGAAAGCGUGGGUAGCGAACAGGAUUAGAUACCCUGGUAGUCCACGCCGUAAACGAUGGAUACUAGCUGUUCGGAUUUAUCUGAGUGGCUAAGCGAAAGUGAUAAGUAUCCCACCUGGGGAGUACGUUCGCAAGAAUGAAACUCAAAGGAAUUGACGGGGGCCCGCACAAGCGGUGGAGCAUGUGGUUUAA